rnacentral:rRNA from 1 species
GACGUAGGGGGCAAGCGUUAUUCGGAAUCAUUGGGCGUAAAGCGCUCGUAGGCGGAUCAGCAAGUCGGUGAAGAAAGACCCGGGCUCAACUCUGGGUCGGCCACCGAUACUCUUCAGCUCGAGUUUGGUAGAGGCAGAUGGAAUUCCGGGUGUAGCGGUGGAAUGCGUAGAGAUCAGGAAGAACACCGGUGGCGAAAGCGCUCUACUAGGCCGCAACUGACACUGAGGGACGAAAGCUAGGGGAGCGAAUGGG